GUACUUGCUUGGCAGUACAUAAAAUUAAAUUGGAAUGAUACAGAGAAGAUUAGCAUGGCCUUGGUGCAAGUAUGACACACAAUUACACAAAGCUUUAAUAAAAAAAU
ensembl:snRNA U6 U6 spliceosomal RNA